CUCAGCGGGGCAUCUGCUUCUCCCUCUCCCUCUGCCCCUCCCCCAUGGUCACUCGCUCAUGCACGCGCUCUCUCUAAGAUAAAUAGAUACACAGAGUCUUUACAGACAGACAACGGGCUGUGCAAGUGUUGCUUAUUCUGGGCUCCGGUCGGUCUGUCGAUCUGGGGCUCUGGCCUUCCAACGGCACCACGCCGCUGUGGUCACUCUUAUCUGGAGCAAGGUCAGGAGUUGAGAGGUGUGAGUCCUCCACGCUUAUUCCCCCUUUCACACUCCUCUUGGCUCUCUCGGGUCCCUACCCUCCCGUGUGAGCGCCAGGCCAGCCAGUCAGUUUCUGUGCCAGGGCUCCACGGGGAUCUGGGGGGCACGUUGACGCUGCAGCUCAGGGUGGGGACAUGCAGUGUCCGGUCUGUGUCGAGGCCACGAGCCCACAGACGUGGGCUCUCCCUGCCAGGCCCACAGCUGUGCCGUGUCGUGCUUCCUCUGUGGCCCACGUGUUUGCUCUGUCUUGUCCUGUCCUCCUUCUGCGUGGACCUUUUCCGUGAGCCUGUGUCUCACCGUUUCUGUCCUUUCUUCUGUGCUGCCCCAUCUGCGUCCUAGUCUGUCCGGUGAAUUCCUGACUUCAGAUGACGCGUCUCUGGUUUUGUAAUGGUUCUCUUUUGUAUUUCCACUUCGCUGAUGAAACCCUUGAUUUUCCCUCAUUUUGUUCAUCUUUUCUACAAAAUUCCAAGGCCUGUUUGUUGUAAUGACCUUGAAUUCCUAGUCUGAUUAACUCCAACAUCUGGAUCUUCUGAGGGUCAGCCUCUGUUGACUUUUUCUCUAUAAUCAUGGGCCACUUUUUCCUGUUUCCCUACAUACUUUGCAGUGCGACAGUGCUGAUUGUUGUCUUUUAAAAAAUGGUAUUAUUUCCCCUGAUACGCCCGCCCUCCACGCAACCCUUCCUCUUAAGGGUCAGGGUGCAUGGGAUUGGCCCCUCGAAUGCUUUGGAGCGAGGUCUAGUCACCGGAGGCUCACUCGGCAAUGAUGUGUUGAAGACAGAGCGGGAUGCCACGCCAGUGUCUCUCGGACUGGGGGGACACCUGCCAACAGGGAGGUCUCGGGGCAUCUCUGUAUGGACACAGGGAGCAUCUGCUACCCAACAAAACACAGAAGGCACGUGGUUUUUUCUCACCUCACCGGAUGGUCAUGCGUCCACCAUCUCCGCAUGUCUGCUGGGGCCGGGCCCAGGGCUGACCCACAGGCUCACCAGUGCCACCUGGGAGAGGGGGAGGUGCGUCACCUCUCCUGACAGCAGACCUGAGGCUGGAGCCGUGCCCCUACUCUCUCCCUGCAGACUGUCCCCCGUCACACGUCACCCCGCAGCCGGACACCAGUGUCCGGCACAGGGGACUCCCACGGGAACGACCAGAGUCACUCAGGUUUGGGAAAAGCUCUUAGGUGGUGAGAGUCCGCGGAUUAACGUGUUCAUGGCGGUGCCCACGAUCUACGCCAAGCUGGUGGACUAUUAUGACAGACGGUUCACCCUGCCUCACGUCCAGGCUUUCAUCCGCGCAGUUUGUGAGCAGAGAAUUAGGUUGAUGGUCUCAGGGUCGGCCGCCCUGCCCCUGCCCGUGCUGGAGAGGUGGCAAGGCAUCACGGGCCACACUCUACUGGAGCGCUACGGCAUGACGGAGAUCGGCAUGGCCCUGUCCAACCCCUUGACUGCCCCGCGUGUGCCAGGCUCCGUGGGGACCCCGCUGCCAGCCGUUGAAGUGCGCAUAGUCUCAGAAAACCCGAAGAAGGAGGGCUGCCCCUACGUGCUCCACGCGGAAGGAAACGAAAGGGAGACGCAGGUGACCCCAGGGUUCAAGGAGAAGGAAGGGGAGCUGUUGGUCAGAGGGCCAUCUGUGUUCCGAGAAUACUGGGACAAACCAGAAGAAACGAGACGUGCCUUCACCUGGGAUGGCUGGUUCAAGACAGGCGACACGGCAGUGUUUAAGGACGGCACCUACUGGAUCCGGGGCCGCACGUCCGUGGACAUCAUCAAGAGCGGUGGCUACAAGGUCAGCGCCCUGGAGGUGGAGCGGUUGCUGCUGGCGCACCCCAGCAUCACAGAUGUGGCUGUGAUUGGAGUUCCAGACAUGACGUGGGGCCAGCGGGUCACUGCAGUGGUGACCCUUCAAGAGGGACACUCGCCGUCCCACAGGGAGCUCAAAGAGUGGGCAAGCGUCGUCUCUCCAAAAGGGUUCAGUCCUCAGGAAAUGAGGUGUGUCCCAGCCUGUGCCCCCUGGGGCCUGCCCGCUCCUGUCUGCUGCCCGACCGCCCGGGGACUGUCAGCAUCUCUGUCUGAAAAUGCCUUAAGUUUGACCUCGUUCUUGAGGGCGCUUUGCUCAGGUGACGGGGACGGCGCCCCGCUGGCUGCUCACCAGGCCGCCCAGCACGGGGACCAGCAGAGUCUUGGGGCUCCUGCCCUGGGCCCUGGCAUCGGCUCGCUGCUGCCGCAGGGGAAGCACACACCCCUGGACACACGGGGUUUGGGCAGCGAGGCCGCGGUGCUCCGAGGGGCUGUUUCUUGAUGCCAGCUCCGUGCCACCAGAGUCCCUCGGACAGUCCCGUGGCUUAUCCCGCCAAGUCCAGCCCAGUCCUCCCCUGUGUGCCGCCGGCUGUCUCCCGUAGCCGCCAGCACUGUGGGCGGGGGCACCCUCUGCCCUGACGAGCCAGCACCCGAACCCCGAGCCGUCCCACCCCCGUGCUGGCCUGAGCUGCUGCCUUCAGCGUGAGCCACCCCAGGCUGACGGUGCCUUCCGUGGGCUGUUGCUGACGUGCAGGGUUGGUGUGCGUGUGGACCCCGCCCACAAAGGAGAGCAGCACCCGGUGACCACGGCUGAGAGUCCGGGUCUCUGUCGCCGCACACGGUGGGCUCAGCACAGUGCCACUCCUGUGGCUGAGCUCGCCCCCACAGUUUGCGGGCUGCAAGGCCGCACACACCUGCCGGCCCCAGACUCACACUGCCUGGUGGUUUGGACGGGGCCUCCUGAGAAAACCGGUGCCUGCCGCCUAAGGAGACGUUUCCAAGUAGAGCCUGGGGGUGGCCAGACCCGUCCACGGGGCCCCUCGCCGGAGAACGCACCGUCUAACAGGGCCCCCGUGGGGGCACGGGCAGCAGAGCAGCUCUUGGACCAACAGACUAGCCUCUCCCACUGCUCAGACGGGGCUCUGUGGGGAGUGCUGCCCCAGCGCACGGGACCACCAGCCCAGGGGUCUGCCCACCUGCCUGCUCCCGCGUCUGGCCGCGGCCUGCUGUUGUGACAACCAGAGCGGGACCUGCUCUUCUGUUCCAGGAGGCCUGGCCUCUGCCCAUGGGUGGGCCUGGAACACGGGCCCCCACGUCUCCGUGUUCGCGUCCACAGCAGCGACACGGGGCGGGGGUGUCCUGGCCCCGUGUGCUGUGCCCUCGGAGUUCCUGCUGGUGGAGGAGAUCCCGCGGAACC